UAAAUCUGGCCUAUAACUGGAGUCUCAACAUUGGUGGGGGACAUUUUGUUUUGGGAAACUUCAGAAGAUGAGCCCUAAAAGCUGCAGAAGACCCAAGUUAGCAAUCCUGAGAUCAAGAACUAUACAGAAAAUGUAAAAUUUUAAAACUCCAGGACUUCCUCGUGCUCCCAGAUCCACUCCCCAAAGAUGCAAUGCCUGGUGAUGCAGCAGCCUUUUGAGCACGAGGACUAAAGCUAGAUGCUGGGGCAGGAAGGAGCCUGGGACAAUGAUGACAUCUUGAGCAGUUUCAUCAGCCCUGGACUGCCUACCCCUGGGCCUCUUGUUAGGUGAUUAAAAUAAAUCCCUUUCU